AGUACUCGGUAGACUAAAAUGCGGCCAUUUUGCUGUGGAGCUAGUGGCGUAGCGGUGACGUCAUCUCGGCGGCAACAUCCCGGCGCGGAGCAGCACGUACGGAUAGCAGUAAGAAUGAGGAUUCAUGUUUUAUAAAGUUACCUCAAGAUUCCUGCCAAAUCCAACGAUAGCAAAUUUAGAAGAACUGUACACUGGAUAUACACCGGUAGUACGAAUACCAGCUAUUGACGCCAUAUUUACUAUGGUACCUCCUUUGCCACCUUUAUGUUUGCCCAUAUAAUCUAGCCCCAACAACGAGCCCCGAAUUAGUGCUA